CGGACGGGCGAGUAAUGUCUGGGAAACUGCCUGAUGGAGGGGGAUAACUACUGGAAACGGUAGCUAAUACCGCAUAACGUCGCAAGACCAAAGAGGGGGACCUUAGGGCCUCUUGCCAUCGGAUGUGCCCAGAUGGGAUUAGCUAGUAGGUGGGGUAACGACUCACCUAGGCGACGAUCCCUAGCUGGUCUGAGAGGAUGACCAGCCACACUGGAACUGAGACACGGUCCAG
rnacentral:rRNA from 1 species